rnacentral:tRNA from 1 species
GGGGAUGUGGCUCAGUUGGCAGAGUGCUUGCCUAGCAUGCAUGAGGCCCUGGGUUCAGUCCCCAGCUCUCUA